UAACAUGAGUGGCGCGUGCUGAAAACACUUGUGAAUCAGAAAAUGCUUUCUGUAAGAAAAACUUAUCACGUACAGGUUCAGAACGUCGUAAAAGCUCUCACCAGACAUGUGGAGACAUCGCCUAAAUGUGGAAACCACAAAUAAAAAUUUUGUGGCAGCAAUAUUAUGCAACGGCACACACUAGUAAGUGCAGCGUAUGCCCUACUUUUGGGACAAGCCGCUGCAUGACACUGCAUUUCCGCUGGCUUCAUCUACGCCUGGCUCUGUGGGCAGCGAAGCAGCAUCCAGCAAAACAUAGUAGAGAUCAGUGGUGCACAUAGUAUUUUAUGUCCCCUUUCUCGAUGCCAGCUGAACACACGGUAACUGUUUCCAAAGCAGAAAAACUAAGGGCAAGGUCUCUGUACACAUGGCAUUGUAAAGUGGCUGAUGCUUGGGCAAAGCAAAUACUGUGCAUGGUAGAUUUGUAUGAGGCAAGCUAACGUCAAAAAGCCUGCUGGAUACUACCAAAUGACCAACAUAUUGUUGCAUGUUGAAAUUCUUUUUUUAUUCCUCAUCACUCAUUUGUGUAGGGGAGACGGCUCUCACAACUGGAGAAGCCUGGGAAGCAUGCAGUACUCCACAAAACCGGUUUCAACGUAAAAUGUGUCUGCAUCUCAUAAUUUCAUGGCUGCAAGAGUGAGCCCAAUGGUAAACACGCCUGUCGAGACAAGGUUUCUUUACAUGGCCAUGGCGCUCAAGGAAGAAACCGAGACUGCAGACUGCCAACGUUCAUUCCUGUUCCGGCAAAGACGGGCCAGCAGUAACCAGCAGGGUUUUACAAAGUGAACUCAUCACAGCUUGAGCCACUCCAUGUCACAAGCAGUUGCUCUUCGAGCCACCGUGCAAAGGUUCCUUGGGGCACAAGUCCAACUCAGCGCCACCACCUUUCUUCUGCAGUUUUUCUACCUACUUAGCUAACCAGCAGCAAGUUUAUCCUUGCAAGGCAUGUGGGAACAGCUUUCACCAGGAAACAGUGCAAGACGAGUGGUCGAAGAAAAUAAAAUUGCUUCUGUGAUCUAAAGUACUUGACGAAUAAAAUUUUGCACUUAUUUGUAUAUAUGUCGUGCAAUUCAUUCAUAUCACAAAAGGCAAAGUGUUUGAUCUUUUGAGCUAUUUCAAUGUGUUGGCCAGACAGUUUUCUCCAUAGCGACCUGCUGCUUCUGCGAUGAGCUGCAUUCAUGACAUUUGCAUUAAAGGAUAUGUACUAUCGGGGACAAAAGUGCCCAGGACUGUGCGAGUGUCGACCAAAUUGCAUCUCUGCACUAUCAGCCGCUAUCAUCUGCGUUGCAGACCACUUUCCGAAUGCAAAUGUUAGCGUGGCUGAUCCCAGCAGAAAGUGCACCAAUAAAAUUCGGUCGACAU